rnacentral:rRNA from 1 species
AUAACCUACGGGACGCAGCAGUGGGGGAUAUUGGACAAUGGGGGAAACCCUGAUCCAGCGAUGCCGCGUGAGGGAAGAAGGUUUUCGGAUUGUAAACCUCUGUGGAGGGGGACGAUAAUGACGGUACCCCUUUAGGAAGCCACGGCUAACUACGAGCCAGCAGCCGCGGUAAUACGUAGGUGGCGAGCGUUGUCCGGAAUUACUGGGUGUAAAGGGAGUGUAGGCGGGAAAGAAAGGCAGAAGGGAAAA